GCUUUCAACAUCCCCGUCCAUCAUUGGACUGAAGGC
rnacentral:ncRNA from 12 species